CUUAUCAAACAAGAAAAUACAGAACGAUAUUAAAUAUAUAGAUAGAGUGAGAUCGACAGACAGAAUAAGUCUUCUUAACAGACCUUAAGCUGCGACAGAAACAUCCUGUUAUGGCUGUUACUCAUCUCAUACUAAUGGCACCAGUGGCGCACCCAGGGGGUGGUUUGGGUGUUAAAACCCCUCCCACCGGCCACCAGUACAUACAAAGAAUAGUAGGAAAAUACAAAUCGGAGAUCCAAAAGUUUUUUUGAUCCAAAAUUGAGUGAUUUGAAAUGGAAUCACCCGUAAUUAUAUGGUAUAAGUUCUUGGCUUGUGGCAGGUGUCGUCCAUUGACGAUUGACGACUCUCUGGAAUUGACCUAGCAGCUUGGUCUUCUGGCCAAAGUCUUUUUAGGCUUAGGAGUCUGUCAAUCACUGGAGGGUUUUGAAUUUUAAACUUUAUCGCAGAGUAAAUGUUGAAAAAUACUUUUUAUUGUACCUAUUAUAUUAUAUAAACAAUGAAAUAUUAUUCUGGUCCAGAUAAUAAAAAUAUUAUUUAUAACAAUUAUUAAA
rnacentral:lncRNA from 1 species